AGUGGUUAAGCACUUGGUUGCUAACCUAAAAGUCGGUGGUUCGAACCCACCAACCACUC
rnacentral:tRNA from 1 species